rnacentral:rRNA from 1 species
UACGUAGGAUGCAAGCGUUGUCCGGAAUUAUUGGGGCGUAAAGAGCGCGCAGGCGGUAUGACAAGUCAGAUGUGAAAGAGGCCGGCUUAACCGGCAAGGGUCAUUUUGAAAACUGUCAGACUAGAGUGCAGCAGAGGAUAGUGGAAUUCCCGGUGUAGUGGUGAAAAUGCGUAGAUAUCGGGAGGAACACCAGUGGCGAAGGCGACUAUCUGGGCUGCAAACUGACGCUGAGGCGCGAAGGCUAGGGUAGCAAACAGG